rnacentral:sRNA from 2 species
CCAGGAGCAGGCGAGGGCAGGUGUGGCCACCACCCUAGCCAUCUAAUCACUUAUACAUAUUCAUUUUAGGAUAGAAAGAGUGGUAGAGCAGAGCCUGACCCUAAAAAGAAAGCCACAUUUAGGGCUAUCACCUCCACCCUGGCUUCCAGCUUCAAGAGGCGUAGGUCCUCCAAAGACACGAGCACCGGGGGUGGACGCGGCGCUUUGCAAAACCAAAAAGACACAGUGCUGCCGCGACGCGCUAUUGAGAGGGAGGAGGGCCAGCUGCAGCUGUGUUCCCGUCAUAGGGAGAGCUGAGACUCCC